UAACAAUGAAUAACUAUCAUUCAACAAUAUAUUUUAAGUGUAUAUUAAAGCAGAACGAGAACCGUAACAUAUAACAGUGGUAUAUGUGUCUUAAAAGGUUGGUAUAGUUAUCAAAAAAUAAAACCAACAUAAUGACAUUUUGUCCUACUCUAGACACCUAAUUCCUGCUCUUUUGAGAUUAAUCCAGUUACUUGGAAAAUACUUCCUCCUGUAUGUCAUGGUUAAAUAGGGCCCUGGAAUGAGGCACAUGUGUCUAGAGUAGGACCUGCCAAGAAUGGGGAACAUUGAUAUUGUGGCAGGCUUAUGCAAUGUAUGGUCAUAUACUGUGAUUAAAUCCUCAUUAUUUUUUGACUAGGUGAGGUGUUUUUAAAUAAAACCAUUACAUUCUGUUAGAUUUGAAAUUGCUGUUUAGUGAAUGAGCGAGUGCGCUGGAUUUUGUAUGUUGUUUGUAUAUACUCUGAUAUUAGGCAUAUUUGUCUAUAUUUAUAUUGAUUCAGAUCUGAUGAGUGAAAAACCCACAAAAGCUUCUCUUUAAGUAUUAAGUUAG